UUAACAGUUAAAUAUCUAUUUAAUAACAGCAUAAGAAGGCUCUGAUAAGAAUUAAAAUCAGAGAUUAUUAAGAGAAGGAGAAGAUGUAAAGGGGCUUUUGAUGUUAGCUAUAUUGUGAAAAGAGGUGGCAAUAGCUUUAGUUUAAGAGAAAGAAAGAAGAAAAAAAGAGUUGAAAGGAAUAAUUGAAUUCUAGAAUAGGAGAGUAAUUUAAGUGUGGGGA
rnacentral:misc_RNA from 1 species